AGCUUCCCCCAAGCGCAGGAACGAAUUUUCGCUGGAGAUUGUAGUGCCCACGCCAUCAAUCGUCAGCUUCCCCUCCCAUGAACUGCUGUCAAAGAUGCUUUACAGGUUGGUGCCUAAUUCCUGGGAUAGCAUCUAGGGUUGCCUGUCACCUUCUUCAUCAUCAUCUGCCUACCUCUCUUCCAGAACCUUCUCCCUGUAAUAGCUACAUAUGUUCCUACAAACCAAGCUUAGCCGUGCUCCAUAACCUUCUUCACCUGACACACUAUUCUUCGUUCCCUAUCAAUCCGUACCAUUAUAUACUCUAUGCCUCCUCUUUUAUAGGUGAAGUUGCAAUUGAUGACAGCCUUCUAUAAAUACCACAACUGCUUUGUUGAUCUCCCCACACUUUCUAUACUCACUAGCAAUCAGGGGUCCAAUUUGUCAUCCCAGCUUCUUAAAUUCCCAAACUACAUCCGAAUAUGGCAGGUAGCUAAGCUCGAGUCACCUGAUGGGUUCUUCUUCAUCAGUAAAAGAAAAUGAGCACAUAUUGGACCUGAGCCUACAACUGAUAGAUUUGUUGUUGUUAUGGUUGGGAAGUGCAUUUUUAUUUUUUGGAAACAAAAGAUAUAUUGCAAUAAUCAAGAGCCAAAAAGCUCAAGAACAGUACAAGCAAGCCAAGGAGGAACUACACAAAGUGAGGACCACCAAGGCUAGAGAAAAAAAAAAAAAAAAACAGCAAGAGAAAGAAAGACAGUGCAGAAAACAUAAGCACGGUCAAGGCACAGCCAAAUGAAACAAAAUAAGAGAAAAUGACAAAGCCAGGAGCAUGCAGGGAAGCAGAAACCGGGCAGCCAAGAAAAGCAACAAGCAAUUUAGCAGAGGAGCACAAAUCUGGCUGGGAACUCAGCAUCAAAGGCAAGGGAUCAACCUCAGCACAAGACAGCUCCAAACAGCACCAAUCACAGAAAAAACACACAAUAGGUUAUGCCAACCAGUAGAUACACGAUCAGGACAGAAACAGAAGUGAAAUCAGAGCUCGGCUUUAAAAGUAAGCCAAAUGUGUGGGCAUACUUCUCUGUUAAGUCUGGAGGAGGGAUCCAUGAAUUCUUAGAUUCUCAGUUUGGUCAUUGGGCUACCAAUUAAACAUCCUGAGCUGUUUGAAAGUCCUGGAAUAGCACAACCAAAGAAAACUAGCUGGAAUAAAAGAAACGGGGUGGUGCAAACAUGAGUAACAACAUCAAUUUCUCAGCCAUUAUUCCUCACCAGUCAGCUGCAGCUCCAAUCCAGUAUGCAAUUCCGUAUGAUUCGACGACAGCGUAUUAUCAUCACAGCCUCUUCCAGCAUCUUCAUCAAUCCAACGAUGGCACUGCAGAGUCUGGUGUGAGUUCUAACAAUGUUGCUGGACUGACUCCUCUGCCAGCUUCUUUCUUUGGCCUAAUCAGACUUAUUGACCUCAUCAAACGGACAUGAUCCUUUGCUAAUUUUCUGCUCCUGCUAACAAAUGAAAAGCUAGCACAGUUCUGCUGACAAGCUUCCAACCCCUCUCUACAAUUUGACCCUUUGAUUAGAUGCUAAGAAAGAUUGAUUUAGAAGGUUUAAUUUUUGUGUUCGCUACUAGCCUUAGUUACAGGGGUAAGCUAUCUAACUUUCCAACAAUGAGAAAUACAUUCAGUCUUGCAAAGAAUUCCUAUAUGCUUCUCUCAACUUGCACCUUUGUUUAAUCAGCAAUUUGGCUUCUUAUAGUGGGUGACUAUGAUGGAGUAUGAGUAUGUAUUUGUCAGUUCCCUCCAGCUCUAUAUUCCAUUCUCAUGCAUAGCCAUCGCAGAUUUGUAAUUUUCCCCCCAUUAUUUGAAGCUUUCUACUAAAUCGGUAUUAAAGCUAGAAUAAUCUGUUCUCAUUUUUCUUGAACUAAAUUUAGGAAUAUGAUGAUGUUCAUGCUUCUGUUAUAAGUUUAAGUUUGUUUCGUGACUUUAUAAAUUCCUGAGGUAGGAGAAGGAACUCCUUUCUUUAGAUUUCUUUUGUGCUGUUAUUGUUUUCAUACAAAAUCAUUUGCUCACAGGUUUUUGGGGUUUAAAAUGAGGGAAAACUCCUUUGAGGUACAUGCCGAAUGUUUCUGAAAGGAUUAGGAAAAAAUGCAUGGACUAAGGACAGAGUGUGAGAUUGAUUGCUUUAAAGAAAAAGUCAAUUUAUGAGACAGAGCAUUCAAGGGAGUUCGAGUGAUUUGGUUACCAGGGUAUAUGGACUAUGGAGUGGAUAACAUCAUAGAGGAGUGAAGAUGAAAAGGAGUAGGAACAAACUUCUACCAGAGAUAGAAUCUGUUGCUUUCUUGAUCCAGGUUUCUCCUUUCGGUGUUCAUCAUCUGAUCUCAUGGUGCCAGUUCCAGCUGUUUCGUUUUAUUUGUAGAUGAGUUCAAACCUCUGUGCAUUUCGAAGGCUCCACCUUUUACCAGUAAGCCAUUUUCGCCUCCUUUAAAUUUACCGAUAUUGUGAGUAUGCUUGUAUGCCAGUCUUUGUGCCCUUGCUGAUUGCUGAUUCUCCUAUACAGUUGCCCCUACCUUAAUAGAUCUUAAUCCUGUUAUACCUGCUAUUUCAAUUUUGAGAUGGUUGGGGGUUUGAACCAAAUAAGUAGCCUGUGUUCUGGUAUGCGUAAUUCAACAAACCAAAGUUGAUUUAGCUAGAAGGAAUGCUCUUCCAGGGGGGUUGAUUCAUCAUGUGUGUUAUGCAGAUGCUCAGCAGAGACAAGUUCACAUCUUUUCCUUAACUGUGAUAUAUCAUGGAAAUUAUGGAUGAAGAUUGGUGGUUGGCUUGGUUUCUUGUCUGUUUUUCCUUCAUCGGUGGGGGACCAUUUUUCCCAGUUUGGGGUUGGUUCUUGUAAUUCCAAAUUCAGACAGGUUCUGGUUCUAAUUUGGAUUGCAACAGUUGGGGUAAUCUGGUAUUUCAGAAAUGGUGUGGUAUUUAGGGGAGAGGAAUUUGGUACUGUGAAAGCAUUAGACCUGAUUCAGUAUAGAGUUUGGUUAUGGCUCAAGGUGAAAGAAAAGAAUUUUAUGGCUUCGUUCUAUUAAUGGAUUAUGAAUCCUGUUGCUUGCUUGAGUUAAGUGUCCAUCCUAUUGUUUGUAAGAUGAUCAUUUUGGCAGAUUGGGCAUAUGUGGAAUGCGUUGAUGGGCUAUCCAUGUGGUUGUGUAUGGUGCAAUUCAUGGUGAUGCUUUGGUUGAAUUUCACCGAUGUGGGCUCCUUUAAUAAGGAAGAAUUAGUAUUGCUAUCAAUGUACCUGGAGGUUUUGAAUUCUUACUGUAGUUGCUGUAUCUGUACUGCUGCUAUUGUUAUCUUUGCACAACCUGACCUCUAGUGAGACUCAGAACUUGGAAGGUCUUUGAUGAUUUGAAGUGUGGACUUGAUUUUGAAAUUCCAAUUUCAAAGGAGAGAGGAUUGGCUGAAGGUACGACCUUCAAUGUUUCGCUUUAUUUUGAGUUUUCUUUAAGAGUACUGGCUAAAUGGCUCCUAUUAUCCUCAUUCUCCUUAUGCUUGGUCUUGAGAAAGAGAGAGCAGAUGGUAGAGUUCUGUACCUUUUGAAUGUGCUAUUUGCUUCAUUGAUUUGUGUUUUGUGACUGUUCUUACUCAUUGUUUCUUGUGUUUUCCUUUUAUCUUCCAUUUUCUCCUUCACUUUUUUUUUUCAGUUUAGUUUCCUUUAUUCAUUCUUUUCCUUCAUAAUCAUAGGUUUGCUCCUCAACUAAUGUGGUGACAAUUCCAUCAAGCAUUCAAUGGAAGAACAAAGCCUUAUGAAUAUGGGAAUCUGACUUCAUCGCAUCCAUGAGCAUCACCAUCACCAUCAUUGAUCAGGUGCUUAUUGGAUUAGAUCCCAAAAGCAAGUGCUAUGGGAUGAAUGACAAAUUGGUUGUGGAUGGCGCUAAUGGUUUAGGUGGAGAUUGCUCAUGAACAGGAUCCAGAAGAACCAUUUGAGAUUUCUUGCAAUUAGCAUUCUUUUUACUUAGUUAGUAUUGACUAUGCUGUUUUCUUUUCCCAUCAUUUUGCAAAUAUUUUCAUGUAAUAUUUGUUCUGCGGAAAAAUUUCAGAGAUUGAGAAAUGAAAAGUUUACCAAUAAAUGUAGAGAAGGAAAAUGUUAUGUGGUAUGAGAGGAAGAAAUGUAAAAGUUAAAUAGGUUGAUUUUGGUUGGAAAAAACUUGAAUAUAUAAAGAGGGUGGUGAAACUAUUCAUCUUCCUAUUAAUAUCCAUGAGUAAUUUAGCACAGACAUUUGAGUGGA